GACGAACGCUGGCGGCGUGCUUAACACAUGCAAGUCGAACGAUGAAGCUGGAGCUUGCUCCGGCGGAUUAGUGGCGAACGGGUGAGUAACACGUGAGCAAUCUGCCCUUGACUCUGGGAUAACUGCGGGAAACUGUAGCUAAUACCGGAUACGACGCUUGGAGGCAUCUCCGGGCGUGGAAAGAAUUUCGGUCAAGGAUGAGCUCGCGGCCUAUCAGCUAGUUGGUGAGGUAAUGGCUCACCAAGGCGACGACGGGUAGCCGGCCUGAGAGGGUGACCGGCCACACUGGGACUGAGACACGGCCCAGACUCCUACGGGAGGCAGCAGUGGGGAAUAUUGCACAAUGGGCGCAAGCCUGAUGCAGCAACGCCGCGUGAGGGAUGACGGCCUUCGGGUUGUAAACCUCUUUUAGUUGGGAAGAAGCGAAAGUGACGGUACCAACAGAAAAAGCACCGGCUAACUACGUG
rnacentral:rRNA from 1 species